AUUGAACGCUGGCGGCAGGCCUAAUACAUGCAAGUCGAGCGGCGCGUCGGACGGGUGAGUACUGCCUAGUAAUUUGCCUGGUAGUGGGGGACACCGUCCGGAAACGUGCCCCUAUACCGCAUACUUUCAGAUGGGCCUAGGUGGGAUUUGCUAGUUGGUGGGGGAAAGGCCUACCAAGUCGACGAUCCGUAACUGGUCUGAGAGGAUGAUCAUUCACACUGGGACUGAGACACGGUCCAGACUCCUACGGGAGGCAGCAGUGGGGAAUAUUUGGCAAUGGGCGAAAGCCUGAUCCAGCCAUGCCGCGUGUGUGAAGAAGGUCUUCGGAUUGUAAAGCACUGUUAUGUGGGAGGCGUUACCUACAGAGUAAGCACCGGCUAACUACGUGCCAGCAGCCGCGGUAAUUC
rnacentral:rRNA from 1 species